rnacentral:snRNA from 1 species
AUCGCUUCUCGGCCUUUUGGCUAAGAUCAAGUGUAGAACAAAGGCGUUAACUGUCCCCUUUUGGGGUGCAUCACGGCGUGUGCCGAACCCGCCUAUCCAGUGGUUCUAUGGGUUCCCACUGACAUGGGCAUGCCUC